rnacentral:antisense_RNA from 1 species
CUUCAGCGAGCCCAGCAGGAGCGGCUGCUCACGGUCCUGGCCGUACGUGGCCAGCAGCGCCUGCGCCUC